UCCUACCGGGAGGCAGCAGUGGGGAAUAUUGCACAAUGGGCGAAAGCCUGAUGCAGCGACGCCGCGUGAGGGAUGACGGCCUUCGGGUUGUAAACCUCUUUCAGCAGGGAAGAAGCGAAAGUGACGGUACCUGCAGAAGAAGCGCCGGCUAACUACGUGCCAGCAGCCGCGGUAAUACGUAGGGCGCAAGCGUUGUCCGGAAUUAUUGGGCGUAAAGAGCUCGUAGGCGGCUUGUCACGUCGGAUGUGAAAGCCCGGGGCUUAACCCCGGGUCUGCAUUCGAUACGGGCUAGCUAGAGUGUGGUAGGGGAGAUCGGAAUUCCUGGUGUAGCGGUGAAAUGCGCAGAUAUCAGGAGGAACACCGGUGGCGAAGGCGGAUCUCUGGGCCAUUACUGACGCUGAGGAGCGAAAGCGUGGGGAGCGAACAGGAUUAGAUACCCUGGUAGUCCACGCCGUAAACGUUGGGAAAUUGGUGUUGGCGACAUUCCACGUCGCAGGCCGAUUCCUUCUAAUAAGUUCCCCGCUGGGAGACGGCGCAAGGU
rnacentral:rRNA from 1 species